rnacentral:rRNA from 1 species
GACGAACGCUGGCGGCGUGCCUAAUACAUGCAAGUAGAACGCACAGUUUAUACCGUAGCUUGCUCCACCAUAAACUGUGAGUUGCGAACGGGUGAGUAACGCGUAGGUAACCUGCCUGGUAGCGGGGGAUAACUAUUGGAAACGAUAGCUAAUACCGCAUAAUAUUGAUUAUUGCAUGAUAAUUGAUUGAAAGAUGCUAUUGCAUCACUACCAGAUGGACCUGCGUUGUAUUAGCUAGUAGGUGAGGUAACGGCUCACCUAGGCGACGAGAAAUAGCCGAGCAGAGAGGAUGAUCGGCCACAAUGGGACUGAGACACGGCCCAAACUCCUACGGGAGGCAGCGGUGGGGAAUGUUGCGCAAUGGGCGAAAGCCGGACGGAGCCAUGCCGCGUGAAUGAUGAAGGUCUUAGGAUUGUAAAAGUCUUUCACCGGGGACGAUAAUGACGGGACCCGGAGAAGAAGCCCCGGCUAACUUCGUG